ACAAAUGAAUUCAAAAGUCUUUCUUAUUUAGUUUAUCUAAUCGAUUAAUAAUUAGGGUUAAUCAAUUAGUUCAUUAAAAAAUUCAUGAAUCUUUUUCUUUUUGAGCCAAAUCUUCUCCUAUAAAUAUAGGGCUUCUCCUCAUUCUUAUAUUAUAUAAAUUUUCAAAUUUAAACUAUAGUAUACCAUUUUCUACCAUCUUCUAUAUUUUCUUGUUAUUCAUUAGAGUAGCCUUAGUGCCAAGAGAGUGAAAAAUACUUGUGAGUGUUUGGUAGCACUGAGGGGAUGCAUUUAUUCUUGAGCAAUAUUCUUGUUUGAUUUUUAAGAUUAGGCUGUUAAAAUUUCUAUUUGGUUUAAGAGCUCAACCUAUUAAGAGUUUUGUUUGGUUUAAGGAUCAACAUGUGCAAAAUAUCUCUCUUUUGUAAAAAGUUUCAAGUGAAUAUCUUUAAAAGUUCAAGACUUAUUAUUAGUGGAACUUUAAAUAGGAAACUCUUGGGAACAAAAACAUGUCAAGUGGUUGUAUAAAUCUUUGGUGCAUUCUUUCUAAUUAUAUCUUUUUACAUUCUUCUUCUUACAAAACCCUAUAAUUUUGAUUCUACUUUUGCUUAUAAGUGUUGAAUCAAUUUGCUUCUGUUUCUGAGCUACAACGUGAAGAGGAAAAUGCAGAGGUUUGGGAAGACUAGGCUAUAGUGUGAAGAGGAAAACACAGAGGCUUAUGAAGACAAAAACUGGAACGAAGCUCGGUUAGUCUAUUAAAAUCCUAUUUUUUUUUUAAUUUUAUUUUUGUUGAUAUUUACCUAAACCCUAAAUCUCUUUUUCUUCUAGUUUUCUUUUAGGUUGAAGUUUUAUAUUUUUACAUAAACCUAACUGCAUUUGUAUCCUAACUGAAUUUGUACUCUAAUCUGAUAGUGUGUAUAUUUCUUUGUAAUUACGGUCACCAUUGCAUUUGGAAUAUCCUUGUUCUCCCCCUGUUGUAAAAUUCUCCUUAUAAAAGAAAAGAAAAGUUGAAACCAAUUUAUGUGCAUUUUGUUAUUUAGUAUGAACAAUUAAGCAAGUGUUUAUCUUUAGCAUAAAUUGUGAAGACAGAUGUUGAAUACAAAGGAUGCACUAUAACAUUAUCAACAGGGAAUGACUCAAAGUGGAAAAUAAUACAUUUUGUUUUUCAUAAUCUCAUAAUUUUGUUAUAUCAAGAAUUUGUAAAGGGAUUUUCAUCCCAAAUUUUGAAUCUCUCACUCUUUACAUAGUCAACUAAUUAAUUGUAAUGGCUUAGACACAAUGUUAACAUGUGCAGUUGAUUGGAUAGGGACAAACAUAAUUCUGUUGCUUUUUUCCUUUAUAUUUUGUUACACAAAGUUUCUAUUAUGUUGAAUGUAUGACCUGACUCUUUUCACUGUUACUAUACAAUAUCAAUUAAUUGUUGUUUGGUUGAAAGUUAUGUUACUAUACAAAUUUUCUCAUAUUGUGUUAAAUGUGCUAAAUGUAGAGUCAUAACUUUUUCUAUCUUCCCAAAUCCUUUAACAGUGGGUCCUUUAACUUUUCUCUUUUGCUACCAUGAUAUGAUCCAGUAUUGAUGGCCAUCUGUUGUGCAUGUUAGAGUUUUAUGUCAUAGUAUCAAAAGUUAGCACAUAUUGCGAUGCUGGGGCUAUGUAUCUGUUUGCCCUUGGUUGUAUAAUAAGAAAAAAAUACUUAUAGAAAAAUAUAUGUUGUAUAUCUUCAAGAACUAUACAUAAUUAUGUCGGAGAUAGCUCUGAAUUAUAUGUAAUAGUCGAAGAACGUUAUUUUCAUGUAUAUUUAAGUGUAUUUUACCUUUUUAAUGAAAAUAUUAAUUUAUCACUCCA
rnacentral:lncRNA from 1 species